rnacentral:rRNA from 1 species
UACGGAGGGUGCAAGCGUUAUCCGGAUUUACUGGGUUUAAAGGGUGCGUAGGUGGGCAGGCAAGUCAGUGGUGAAAUCUCCGGGCUUAACCCGGAAACUGCCAUUGAUACUAUUUGUCUUGAAUAUCGUGGAGGUAAGCGGAAUAUGUCAUGUAGCGGUGAAAUGCUUAGAUAUGACAUAGAACACCAAUUGCGAAGGCAGCUUACUACCCGAAUAUUGACACUGAGGCACGAAAGCGUGGGGAUCAAACAGG